rnacentral:rRNA from 1 species
GGCAGACGGGUGAGUAACACGUGGGAACGUGCCCUUCGGUUCGGAAUAACUCAGGGAAACUUGAGCUAAUACCGGAUACGCCCUUUUGGGGAAAGGUUUACUGCCGAAGGAUCGGCCCGCGUCUGAUUAGCUAGUUGGUGGGGUAAUGGCCUACCAAGGCGACGAUCAGUAGCUGGUCUGAGAGGAUGAUCAGCCACACUGGGGCUGAGACACGGCCCAGACUCCUACGGGAGGCAGCAGUGGGGAAUAUUGGACAAUGGGCGCAAGCCUGAUCCAGCCAUGCCGCGUGAGUGAUGAAGGCCUUAGGGUUGUAAAGCUCUUUCGACGGGGACGAUAAUGACGGUACCCGUAGAAGAAGCCCCGGCUAACUUCGUGCCAGCAGCCGCGG